GGAACUAGUCUGCCCUGACAGUUGAUUCGAUAGAGAUUGUUCAAAUCAUCAUAAAAACCACGCCGUAGACUUGACUUUGACCAGCCUACUUUCCCCACAUAUUAAAACAGCAGCUUUUCAGCAGAAAGGGGACGAAUUCACCUAAAUGAAGGCGUAUCUGAAGUUCACCACACCUAUGGGAACCGGAGGUCUGAACUGAUUGACUACAAGCUCUUGUGUCCAGUUCUGUGUCCAUGAGAAGUCCAUGGAUGAAUCAGAGAUCAAAGAGACGGAUCCUCCUCCUGAGGAGAGAGCCCCCAUAGAGAGUAGACCGGUCUCCCCUGUGCCCAAGACAGUGCAGUGGUCCAUGGAUCCCACAGCACCAUCCAGGGAGAUGGAUCCUCCUCCUGA